AAAAAGGGCAUCUGCUGUAAAUAACAUAGCUGUGGAAGGGAUUCUCUGACACAGUUACAGAAUCGAUAUCAAGAGAUUUUGGAUGCAUCAUUUUUAUAACCCAAGGCUGCCAAUGAUCAGUUAUCUUGGUACCUCA